rnacentral:lncRNA from 1 species
ACACCAUCACACAAUGACCAGGGAGGCUCUUUGGCCGUGGUCAGCAGAGGCAGCUGUGCCACUGCCUGUGGGUGCCACACCUACCUCACAGCAGCGACUUCCUCAUAAGAAAGUCUCUGCUGUUAUUUAGAUGUGUGUCUUGUCUCCCAGACUCAGAUACAAGCCCAUCAAGGCAGUGAGGUUGACAUCUUUUUUUCUGACUUGUCUGCAAAUCCCUCAUGAGG